rnacentral:rRNA from 1 species
AACGAACGCUGGCGGCAUGCCUAACACAUGCAAGUCGAACGAGACCUUCGGGCCUAGUGGCGCACGGGUGCGUAACGCGUGGGAACCUGCCCUUGGGUUCGGUAUAACUCACCGAAAGGGGUCCUAAUACCGGAUAAUGUCUUCGCACCAAAGAUUUAUUGCCUUUGGAUGGGCCCGCGUUGGAUUAGCUGGUUGGUAGGGUAAGAGCAUACCAAGGCGAUGAUCCAUAGCUGGUCUGUGAGGAUGAUCGGCCACACUGGGGAUGAGACACGGCCCAGACUGCGACGGAACGGAGCAGUGGGGUGUAUUGGAGGCGGGGCGAAGGCGUGAUCCAGCAAUGCCGGGUAAGAGAUGAAGGCCGUAGGGUAGUAAUGCUCUUUUACCCGAGAUGAUAAUGACGGUACCGGGUGAAUAAGCUCCGGCUAACUCCGUG